GAACGCUGGCGGCGUGGAUGAGGCAUGCAAGUCGAACGGAACUUUCGCGGUAGCAAUAUCUAGGAAGUUUAGUGGCGGAAGGGUGAGUAAUGCGUGGGUAAUCUACCUCGAAGAUUGGAAUAACCUGGGGAAACUCGGGAUAAUUCCGAAUGUGGUCGCUCCGCGCAUGCGGGGCUGUCUAAAGCUGGGGACCGCAAGGCCUAGCGCUUCGAGAUGAGCUCACGUCCUAUCAGCUUGUUGGUGAGGUAAUGGCUCACCAAGGCUAAGACGGGUAGCUGGCGUGAGAGCGCGGUCAGCCACCAUGGAAACUGAGACACGGUCCAUACUCCUACGGGAGGCAGCAAUUAGAAUCUUGCGCAAUGGGGGCAACCCUGACGCAGCGACACAGCGUGGAGGAAGAAGGUCUUCGGAUUGUAAACUCCUUUUAUAUGGGACGAAUAGAUGACGGUACCCAUAUGAAUAAGCACCUGCUAACUGCGUGCCAGAAGCAUCGGUAAUGCGUAGGGUGCAAACGUUAUCCGGAUUUAUUGGGCGUAUAGAGAUGCGUAGGCGUUUUUGUAAGUCCUUAGUUAAAGCACCACGGCUCAACCGUGGGAAAGCUUCGGAUACUGCAAAAAUUGAGACAGGAAGGGGCGAACAGAAUUCCCAGUGGAGCGGUGAAAUGCGUUGAUAUUGGGAGGAAUGAUCAGUGGCGAAGGCGGUUCGCUGGUACCUUGUACUGACGCUGAGGCUCGAAAGCGUGGGUAGCGACGACGGAUUAGACAUACACGCGUGUAGCCCACGCUGUAAACUAUGAAUGCUAGGUGUUCAGGUACUAACUGUUAUUUACCCCUCGGGGAAAAAGUGGAAGUAUUGAGUGCCGCAGUUAACACGUUAAGCAUUCCGCCUGGGAAGUACUGCCGCAAGGNUAAAACUCAAAUGAAUUGGCGGGGACCCGCACAAGCGGAGGAGCGCGUGGUUUAAUUCGACGGCAAUCGAAGAACCUUACCAGGGUUUGAAAUGUAUCUGCAUGCCCCCAGAAACGGGGGAGUCCUUAGAGGGUGAUACACAGGUGCUGCAUGGCCGCCGUCAGCUCGUGUCGUGAGAUGUAGGGUUAAGUCCCGAAACGAGCGCAACCCCUAUCCUAUGUUACAAGUGUCUUAGGAAACCGCCUCGGUAAAACGAGGAGGAAGGUGGGGAUGACGUCUGGUCCGCAUAGCCCUUAUGUCCUGGGCUACACACGCGCUACAAUGGCCGAUACAAUGGGGAGCCAAAUCGUAAGAUGGAGCAAAUCCUCAAAGUCGGUCUCAGUUCGAAUUGAGGUCUGAAACUCGACCUCAUGAAGGUGGAUUCGCUAGUAAUCGUAGAUCAGCCAUGCUACGGUGAAUACGUUCUCGGGUCUUGCACACACCGCCCAUCAAACCAUGGAAGUAGGUGAUACCCGAAG
rnacentral:rRNA from 1 species